rnacentral:rRNA from 1 species
UGCCAGCCGCCGCGGUAAUACGGAGAUGGCAACCGUUGUUCGGAAUCACUGGGCUUAAAGAGCACGUAGGCGGAGAUAUAAGUUGAUUGUGAAAUCCCAUGGCUUACCCAUGGAACGGCAUUCAAAACUGUAUUUCUUGAGUUCAGGAGGGGAGAGUGGAACUCCUAGUGGAGCGGUGAAAUGCGUUGAUAUUAGGAGGAACGCCGGUGGCGAAAGCGACUCUCUGGCCUGUAACUGACGCUGAGGUGCGAAAGCUAGGGGAGCAAACGGGAUUAGAUA